UGGGGAAUAUUGGACAAUGGGCGACAGCCUGAUCCAGCCAUGCCGCGUGUGUGAAGAAGGUCUUCGGAUUGUAAAGCACUUUAAGUUGGGAGGAAGGGCAUUAACCUAAUACGUUAGUGUUUUGACGUUACCGACAGAAUAAGCACCGGCUAACUCUGUGCCAGCAGCCGCGGUAAUACAGAGGGUGCAAGCGUUAAUCGGAAUUACUGGGCGUAAAGCGCGCGUAGGUGGUUUGUUAAGUUGGAUGUGAAAGCCCCGGGCUCAACCUGGGAACUGCAUUCAAAACUGACUGACUAGAGUAUGGUAGAGGGUGGUGGAAUUUCCUGUGUAGCGGUGAAAUGCGUAGAUAUAGGAAGGAACACCAGUGGCGAAGGCGACCACCUGGACUAAUACUGACACUGAGGUGCGAAAGCGUGGGGAGCAAACA
rnacentral:rRNA from 1 species